rnacentral:snRNA from 1 species
GUGCUCACUUCAGCAGCAUAUAUAUUAAGAAGAUUAGCAAGGCCCCUGUGCAAAGAUGACAUGCAAAUUCAUGAAGGGUUCCAUUAAAAA